GAAAUGCGAUAAUUAAUGUGAAUUGCAGAAUUCAGUGAAUCAUCGAGUCUUUGAACGCACAUUGCGCCCCCUGGUAUUCCGGGGGGCAUGCCUGUCCGAGCGUCAUUGCUGCCCUCAAGCACGGCUUGUGUGUUGGGCUUCCGUCCCUGGCAACGGGGACGGGCCCAAAAGGCAGUGGCGGCACCAUGUCUGGUCCUCGAGCGUAUGGGGCUUUGUCACCCGCUCCCGUAGGUCCAGCUGGCAGCUAGCCUCGCAACCAAUCUUUUUAACCAGGUUGACCUCGGAUCAGGUAGGGAUAACCGCUGAACUUAAGC
rnacentral:misc_RNA from 1 species